UAAGGUCGAUGGCGACCGGCGCACGGGUGAGUAACACGUAUCCAACCUACCGGUUAUUCCGGGAUAGCCUUUCGAAAGAAAGAUUAAUACCGGAUAGUAUAACGAGAAGGCAUCUUCUUGUUAUUAAAGAAUUUCGAUAACCGAUGGGGAUGCGUUCCAUUAGUUUGUUGGCGGGGUAACGGCCCACCAAGACAUCGAUGGAUAGGGGUUCUGAGAGGAAGGUCCCCCACAUUGGAACUGAGACACGGUCCAA
rnacentral:rRNA from 1 species